AGCUCCAAUAGCGUAUAUUAAAGUUGUUGCAGUUAAAAGCUCGUAGUUGGAUUUCUGGUUGGGGGCAAAGGCGGCAUGAAGUGUCAGCUUGCGUCCCCAGCCAUCCUUCUGUUAACCUGGUAUGGCAUUCUUUUGCUGACCAGCGGCUCAGAUAUUUUACCUUGAGAAAAUUAGAGUGUUUCAGGCAGGCUUGGCCGGGAUACAUUAGCAUGGAAUAAUGGAAUAGGACUCCAGCCUCUUCUGUUGGUCUGAGGGGUUGAAGUAAUGAUUAAUAGGGAUAGUUGGGGGCAUUAGUACUUAACUGUCAGAGGUGAAAUUCUUGGAUUUGUUAAAGACUAACUUAUGCGAAAGCAUUUGCCAAGGAUGUUUUCAUUAAUCAAGAAGAAGUUAGACG
rnacentral:rRNA from 1 species